AUUUAACCUCAAAUCAGGUAAGAAUACCCGCUGAACUUAAGCAUAUCAAUAAGCGGAGGAAAAGAAAAUAACAAUGAUUCCCUUAGUAACUGCGAGUGAAGAGGGACAAGCUCAAAUUUUAAAUCUGUUAGGUUCAUCUAACCGAGUUGUAAUUUGAAGAGGCGUUUUCUGCGUUUUUGAUCAGUCCAAGUCCUUUGGAAUAAGGCAUCAUGGAGGGUGAGAAUCCCGUUCGGUUGAUCAAAUUUGCUUUAUGAUACGUCAUCUAAGAGUCAAGUUGUUUGGGAUUGCAGCUUAAAAUGGGAGGUAAAUUUUCUCCUAAGGCUAAAUAACGGCGAGAGACCGAUAGCGAACAAGUACCGUGAGGGAAAGAUGAAAAGAACUUUGAAAAGAGAGUCAAAUAGUACGUGAAAUUGUUGAAAGGGAAACGAUUGAAGUCAGUCGUACCUGCGGGAUAAUCAGCCUUUCGAGUAUGAUUCUGUGGAGUGUAAGGAGUUUAACCGUCUUCAUACCUGCAUAUUCGUGCGCUUUGGGUGUACUUGUCCGUAUGGUAGGUUAACAUCAAUUUUGGUCGUUAUAAAAUGACUAGGGGAAUGUAGCUUUGAUCCCGUAUUGAAGUGUUAUAGUCUCUGGUAAAUGCAGUGACUAGGAUUGAGGAUUGCAACGGAUACCUUUCGGGGCUACUCGUCUGAUCUCUGGAAGUUACUUUGGUGCUAAAAGCUUGCUUAUGGUUAUCGAAGUUGACGGUCAAUAGGUUAGAACGAGUUAAAUUCGUUAAGGAUGUUGACGUAAUGGCUUUAAACGACCCGUCUUGAAACACGGACCAAGGAGUCUAACAUGUAUGCGAGUG
rnacentral:rRNA from 1 species